rnacentral:rRNA from 1 species
GACGAACCGUGCGAACGUUAUUCGGAAUCACUGGGCUUAAAGGGUGCGUAGGCUGCGAGGAGGGUGGGGUGUGAAAUCCCUCGGCUUAACCGAGGAAUUGCGCUCCAAACCGCCUUGCUGGAGUGAGACAGAGGUGAGCGGAACUAAUGGUGGAGCGGUGAAAUGCGUAGAUAUCUGGAGGAACACCGGUGGCGAAGGCGGCAUCCUGGACCGGCAUUGACGCUGAGGCGCGAAAGCCAGGGGAGCAAACGGG